AUUGAACGCUGGCGGCAUGCUUUACACAUGCAAGUCGGACGGCAGCACAGAGAAGCUUGCUUCUUGGGUGGCGAGUGGCGAACGGGUGAGUAAUAUAUCGGAACGUACCGAGUAAUGGGGGAUAACUAAUCGAAAGAUUAGCUAAUACCGCAUAUUCUCUGAGGAGGAAAGCAGGGGACCUUCGGGCCUUGCGUUAUUCGAGCGGCCGAUAUCUGAUUAGCUAGUUGGUGGGGUAAAGGCCUACCAAGGCGACGAUCAGUAGCGGGUCUGAGAGGAUGAUCCGCCACACUGGGACUGAGACACGGCCCAGACUCCUACGGGAGGCAGCAGUGGGGAAUUUUGGACAAUGGGCGCAAGCCUGAUCCAGCCAUGCCGCGUGUCUGAAGAAGGCCUUCGGGUUGUAAAGGACUUUUGUCAGGGAAGAAAAGGCUGUUGCUAAUAUCAAUAGCUGAUGACGGUACCUUAAGAAUAAGCACCGGCUAACUACGUG
rnacentral:rRNA from 1 species